rnacentral:snRNA from 1 species
GGAAGUAAGGGCUGUCCAUCUGUUAUAUCUGUCACCCCAUUGAGCAUGAGGAUUAAUGUGGCUGAUUUGCUGAGCUAAGCAGGUGUUCCCUUCCUCUCUCACUGNUCGUGUAUACCUCUUCCAAGGUGCACUCGACUGGAGAGGACAAUCUUUCCUAACAGAAGAAGCCCACUCCUUGGUCACAGGUAUAUGAGGAUCUGGGUCCCCCUGGAAGAACCUCUAAACAAGCUCUUAAGGUAAGUGCUCUGCCGCUGAGUUAGAACUAUAGCACCCUAAAUAGUGUGCAAUCAGUAUUUUCUCCAUUUUG